rnacentral:rRNA from 1 species
CCGCGGUAAUACAGAGGGUGCAAGCGUUGUUCGGAAUUAUUGGGCGUAAAGCGCGUGUAGGCUGCGACGCAUGUCGGGUGUGAAAGCCCUCGGCUCAACUGAGGAAGUGCGCCCGAAACUGCGUUGCUCGAGUGCUGGAGAGGGUAGCGGAAUUCCCGGUGUAGAGGUGAAAUUCGUAGAUAUCGGGAGGAACACCAGUGGCGAAGGCGGCUACCUGGACGGACACUGACGCUGAGACGCGAAAGCGUGGGGAGCAAACAG